UACACUCAUAGUUACUAGUAAGUUACAUCAGAUCAUUCUUCUUAUAGGCUCUUUAAAAGUUUUAAAAGGCAGAUCCUUCCUGGAAAAGCUCCCUGAUCCAGAUCCAGAAGCUCCAGGUGGAGCUGGCCAUUCUGAAGAGCUGUCAGCCAGGCUCAGUGGAAGGGGAAGACUGAAGGGUCCAGCAGAAGCAGGUGGGCUACAUGACCGGAGGAGGGAAAAACCCUGCCAUUACACACAGCCACUUCUCCUCGUCAUCGGCGGAAGGUCAGCGAACACAACCGGAAAGCAAGACUACUUACCCGAUCCGCCAUUGUGGAGCAAAAGUGGGGAAAAACGGAGGCUUGCUGUUUUACUCCCCGACAGACGACACGCUGAGUGGAUGUUUCGCAGCGACUCGAGCCCCAAUCCGCAGUCCAGCAAGUCGACGUCCGCGGCCCGUGUCGUCUGAGCGAGUAAGAGCCGGAGGGGUUGGCCGAGGCGCAGCGGGCAGAGAGCGAGAGCCAAGCGGGGAAACAGCGCUCAGGUAGCGGGUAGCAACGGUGGCAGCAGCGGAGACAGUGGACACUCAGCAUAGCAAGCAGCUCGGGUUCCUGGAGGAUGUCUGCCACAACUGUCGAUCAGAGACCUAAAGGACAAGGAAAUAAAGUGCAAAACGGUUCAAUGCAUCAGAAGGAUGCUGUAAAUGAUGAUGACUUUGAGAAUUACUUAAGCAGCCAGACGAAUCAGAGUAAUAGCUACCCACCAAUGUCUGACCCCUACAUGCCCAGCUACUAUGCCCCAUCCAUCGGUUUCCCUUACUCUCUGGGUGAAGCUGCAUGGUCCACCGCAGGAGAUCCUCCUAUGCCCUACUUGACCACCUAUGGACAGAUGAGCAAUGGUGAACACCACUUCAUCCCUGACGGAGUGUUUAGCCAGCCUGGAGCUCUAGGCAACACUCCCCCUUUUCUCAGCCAACAUGGAUUUAACUUCUUUCCUGGCAAUGCAGACUUUUCCACUUGGGGCACCAGUGGCUCACAGGGACAGUCAACGCAGAGCUCAGCGUACAGCAGCAGCUAUGGCUAUGCCCCGAGUUCUCUGAGCAGGGCCAUAGCGGACGGACAGGCAGGGUUUGGCAGUGACACGCAACUUAGUAAAGUUCCGGGUCUCAGUGGUAUCGAUCAGGGCAUGGCUGGACUCAAGCUGGGAUCUGACAUGGCAGCCGUCACUAAAACUGUGGGUUCCCCUCUUGGAGGAACUGCAGGUAUGAGCAGUAUGGCAGCCAACAACGUGCCGCCUGUUAGCUCCUCCGCCCCCAAGCCCACAUCAUGGGCGGCAAUAGCUAGGAAACCUGCCAAACCGCAGCCCAAGCUAAAACCUAAAUCCCACGUAGGCAUGGGGAGCGGUGCUACGAUUCCACCGCCACCUAUAAAGCAUAACAUGAACAUUGGUACUUGGGAUGACAAAGGCUCCAUCACAAAGCCUCCCCUUGCUCAACAGAUGCUCCCACCUCAGCCACUGGUGCAGCAGCAGCUCCUGGCCCAGCCCCAGCCGUUACUGCCAAACCCACUGCCUCCACAGCCUCAGCACCAGCAGCUCCAGCUGCAGUCCCCCCAGCCCCCUCAGCAACUGCCACCAGGCCCCCCUCACCAUCACCCUCUCCAACACCAUCAUUCUCAACCCGGUCCCCCUCAGCCUCCGCACCAGCACCCACACCCACACCCACUCUCCCAGCAGAAUGCACCACCUCAGAAUCGUUGGGUGGCCCCGAGGAACCGAGCUGCGACCUUUAACCAGAACAGUGGUGUCGAGAACUUUGGCCUGGGCCCUGGUGUGCCCUUGAGCACCUCACCCUCCACAAGUGAGGUCCACCCCGUGCUGGAGAAACUCAAAGCCCUCAACAACUACAACCCUAAAGACUUUGACUGGAACUUGAAGAAUGGACGGGUAUUCAUUAUCAAGAGCUACUCGGAGGACGACAUCCACCGCUCCAUCAAGUACUCCAUAUGGUGCAGCACUGAGCACGGUAACAAGCGCCUGGAUGCUGCCUACCGCUCGCUGGGGGCCAAGGGCCCGCUGUACCUGCUGUUCAGCGUCAACGGCAGCGGCCACUUCUGCGGCGUGGCCGAGAUGAAGUCCACAGUGGACUACAACGCCUAUGCUGGCGUCUGGUCUCAGGACAAGUGGAAGGGCAAGUUCGAAGUGAAAUGGAUCUUUGUCAAGGACGUGCCGAACAACCAGCUGCGGCACAUCCGCUUAGAGAACAAUGACAACAAGCCCGUCACCAACUCCAGGGACACUCAAGAGGUGCCCCUAGAGAAAGCAAAGCAAGUGCUUAAAAUUAUUGCUACUUUCAAGCAUACCACCUCAAUCUUUGAUGAUUUUGCACAUUACGAAAAGCGUCAGGAGGAGGAGGAAGCCAUGCGAAGGGUAAGCGUGGCUCUCUCGCACACUCCACUGUAGCUGAAAGCAAUCUCUGCAUCUAUAGAUCACACCGAUCCUAUUCCUCAAACCCUAUUGGAUUAGAACAUUGUCAGCAUGUCCAUUCAGUUCAAAGGGAGGCCUAUUUAACAGGGCUUGGAUUUGCAAGCCAAAUGAGUGUUUCUCCUUCAAAGGCAAGCAUGAGAGAGCAUCAUUAUUUGCCAAAAAUUAAAUUAGGCCUAUAUUAAGAAGACAAUGAGUCUGGAAAUUGUAAAGAAUUCUGUGGCUCCCGUGAUUCAUGGAACUUCUCACUGAUGGGUUCACAGAAAUGCAUCAUAAAAUAAAUGGAAAUUACAGAGAGAGAGGGGAAAGAAGCUGUGGCCCCUUAGCAUGUUACCUAACACAGUUCAAACAGCCAGCAGAUGUCCCAUUAGUAGAUGUUAAAGUGACAUCAUUUCCAUCCCACACAAUACAAAUUAUUAAUGACUGUGCCCAUUACUAAGAAAUCAGCUGAUGUUCAUCUCCAUAUGUGUUUUAAUAUUCUGUUAAAUUGGACAGAAUGGAAAAGGUGUAGCCAGAAGAAAAUUAUGCAAAUUAGGGAUGCACAAUAUUAGAAUUAACUUGUUAGCAGCAGGUAACUCCUUUUAAACCAGUACAUAUGUAAACAGUGUUGUACUAUUUGUAACUAAUUACUUUCAGUCAAAAGUAUUUGUUGAGUGUCAAAAAGAUGCUGUAGAUGUUAUUUCCGCUAGACUGCUGAUUGGCUGAUUCACCAUACAUUAAAAAUAAGAACACCAGCAUUUUGUGAUUUGUUUGUUAAUUUGAACAUUUACACAAUGUUUGCAAGUAGAGUAUAAAAAAAUCUUUGAAGUCACUUUAAACCCUUUAAUGUGUGUCAUCUGACUAUACCAAUCUUGGUUAUCUUUAACAAUGUCAUUAAGGCUAAUAUGUAAAUUAUUUAUUUUCUGAUUGGCUACUAUGUGUUGUGGCUUGUUCAAAAUGCAAUCCUUGGUUGUUUCUUGGUGCCAAGAAUGUGAAGGAUGAACUUGUGUUAAUGGAAAAAAUAUUCUUUACAAGAUACAAAAAUAUGUCACACAUGUAUGAGAGAGAUUUUCUGUAUGUUCUAUUGCGCAAUAGUCUCCCCUGGGCUCAGCCUAUUACAUUAGGAACAUUUCUGACAUUUUAAAACUGUAACUAAACAGUAAAUGUAAAUGUGAUAAAUGUCAGUUUUUCCUUUACAAAAAACUGAACAGCGUGGGUCGAAGCAAAAAAACAGAACAGUAAACAUUGUUGCAAGAAUUUCUAACCGAAGAGAGAGGAGCAGCCGAGCUGAGGUGCUGAUCGAGCGGGGGAGAGACAAGCCCGUUACAGUGCCAUUUAUCUUUGGUUGUAGCUUAGAGAUUAUACCCUUUACUAUGACAGAUACAAGCUAAUGUGUUCUAGAAAUAGCCCUUUAUUCAAUCUUACUCAUAAAUAUAGCCAUUUAAUUCUUUUCGUUUCACCUGUAAGGUGUUUAAAAUAAGGGGGGCUAACAGACUAAAAUUACUAAUACUAAACACACAGGGAAUGCCAAAAUAACACUUAAAGCCUCCGGUUUACAAAUUGUCAGAAAAAAAACUUUCCUUUAGGUUCCAAUUCGAUUUGAGUAAAAGUUUAUCACUUAGAUUCAUCGUUAAUGUAGAUUUGGGAAAAAAAGUAGAGCACACAGUAAACAUAAUGGACAUCCUACUGGGGUUCAAGACGUGCCACUAUUAUCAGCCGUAAAGCUGCUGCAGGGAUUCAUGGGACUUUUAGAUCAUUCUGGUUAUAUACGUCAUCUAGUAAACUUUCCUUUAUAUUUUGGAUGGAGCACAAUCUGGAUGCUUUAAGGCUUUGUUCACAUUUCGAUCAUAAUUAAUCAGUUCCAAAUUUUUGCUCAGAUCAGAUUAGGCUAUUUUGAUAGUUUACACUCAUAAAUAGAAGUGACAUAUCUGUCUGUAAUGUAAUGAACUUGUUUCUAAAACUGCACGUGUGUACAUUGACACAUUUAUGCACAAUGCCUCUGAUUUUUUUUAUUUGCUCGGAGUGUUUUCCUAAAUAUUGACUCUCUACCAGAAUUCAAAUUCCCUGAAGUGAUAUUCAGUUGUUUAUUGCGAUGGAAAAGUAAUAUAAAUAGUGUUUUUUUUUAUUAUUAUUAUUCCUUUUACCAACAACAGGAAUCGCUAAUGUAAUUUAGAGCAUGUCUGACAAAUUGGAUAUGUAGACAGUCUAGGACCACAUAUAAAAGGGACUAAAUUUUGGGAUUGACAUACAGCACUGAAAAAAUCUGAUCUGUGCCAUAAAGCAAAUUGCGUUUAUAUCACGUCAGUCUUGUAAUGUGAAUGUAGCACAGUUCUAUGCAUCGUAUGGGAGAUUUUCCCUACCUAAUCACAUGCUGCAGUUACGGGAAGGUCUAGACUGUAGACUUAUUUACUAGACCAAUGUAAACAAGUGGGACUGGGCCUUUUUUGCAGCAUGUUUUCAUAUAUGGCCUGUAUGGGUUAGGGAGGGAAUAUUGUGAUUUAAAUUCUACAUCAAAACAAUCUGGGCCUAUAAAGCACAGGAGGGGCAUUUAAAAAUGGUUAAGCUAUUGUCAGCUAUAUAUGAGACCAGUGGAAUAAUUUCUGUACUGUGAGAAAUAAGAACAUUUAAGUGACAAGAGACAGAAUAUGAUGAUGAUAAAACUUUUUAAAUAAAAAUAAAUAUAUAUAUGUGUUUGUAUUUGCAUCAUCAGAUGUGUACGCUGACAUUAUAUAAUGUCUGUGUUUGCUGGAAUUCUUGUAUCUAUGCAUCCUCAAUAUGGAAGUGCAAAUUUGAUCACUAUUGUCUGAACGCAGUUAUUGUGUUAGUUGUAUGGAGUGAAAAGUGGCUGUACGUAAUGGGUUAGACUAGCAUUUACUGUGUGGCAGGUCAGCACUUUGGAGAAUUGGGUUUUACAGGAGCUUGAUUCCCAGUACAUUUGAUUAAUAAUCUGUCCUGGAUUGCAUGGACAGUAAUGAAUUAAAGUACACCCGUUUCAGCACAGGCCUUUUUCCUCUCUGCAGAGGCUUACCUUUUUUGUGUGGCUCUGCCUUUUUCCCAUUUUGAAUCAUUGCUAAAGAUUUAUAUUCUUGUAAUCCUAAAGCAUAAGCAGGACAUAAAGAUAUUUAAUUAGCAGGAAAACAUUCAAAAUGAUUUAAAAACAUAUAUAAUAUCUUAGUUGCGGUAGCAUGGUGCUCAUUCAAGGUAAAAAGUGUUUGUAACUAUUUGUGCGUGUUGCUCACACACAUUCGAAGAAAUAUCUGCUUUUAAUGGUACACACUGACAGCACGGAUUGCUGUGGAUUGGAACACACUGAUCCAUCUAAAUGUUUGGGUUCUUGGAAAAGGUGCUGUUAUCCUGCCUGCUUGACAGACAAUGUUUCAGUUCAGAUAUACAGACACCUAACAUGCUGUUCAGUCUUAUGUAAUUUUGUGUUAUUUGCAGACGGAAAAUAGUCACGCAUUAAUUGUAGACGCAGCAGGUUAGGUUAUAAAUGACUUGUUUUCAGAGAUGUGGCUGAUAUCUGAUGGUGGAUUUUGUCCCAGAACAUAAGUUCCUUUGUUUUGUGAUGGAGACCGCACAAUAUCUGUUUUUGUUUUUAGAGCUGAUGCUGAUAUUGAAACUUUGAGGAUCUGCUAAAAAGCUAGUAUUAUAUUUAGUACUUAUAUUUAUACUCUCAGAAUGUCUCUUAUCCCUACUUAAUUGAAAUACAGCUUAACUUGUUCAAGUUUUAAAAUGUACUGUUUACUACCAAGACUAAGAAGUCCAUAUGUGGAAGCUAAGUUGCAAAAAACUUAUUAAAAGUGUUUCUGCAAUGUUAUUAGUACCAAAUUCUUUAUGUACCUACCAGAGUUUAAUGUGGCCCUCUCAUACUGCAGUUCACAGAAGUGUUUUUUUUUUUUUUCUUGAGUGAGACACCACAGGGGAAAGCCAGUUAGAGCUAAGGGACAAAAGUCUAAAAAAUGGUCGUGUGAAUAACACCUUCACGAAUAACAUAAAUUCCCCCAAAUAACACCAAGAACUAAAAGUUCUGGGGUGCUGGGCAUGCACCUAAACAUUGCUGUGACCCACUUCCUCACUGUGGAUGAAAAUACUUAAAAUGAUUAAAAUAAAUGUUAACCUCUUAAACUCUGUGGAACCACCGAUGGUUCCUGGCCUCAACCCACAGGUUUGCAUUGCUUAGCAUGCAGUUAACAUUUUUAGGAUGUAAUACAAGUUGCUGAGCAUGGGGGUUAAAACUAUUUGUUAAUCGAAGCACUUUCUUUUAUGAAGCAACAGCGCUGAGAAACCGGAAAUUAGGGCUGCAUGAUAUUGGGGAAAAACUGACAUUGUGAUAUUUUGCUGUGCUGCAAUAUAUAUUUUGGUAAAAAAAUAUAUAAUUUUCACCCAUCUCAUCAAGGUGUCAGUGCAAUCUUUGUGUCAGUGAGUAAGGUCAAAUAAAUGAUAACAUGGUUCAUAUCAUUGCUUAUCUCGGAUAUUGUCAUUCAAAAUGAUAACCGUGUGGAUUUUACUUUGUAUAAAGCAGCAAGAUGGUUUUAAACAUGUAGUUGCACAAAACGUUGCUGGACCUCAGGAGAAAAAAUAAAUACAAGGAAGACGAAGGAUAUCAGCCUUUGACCACAGCUAGGAAUGAAAUAAUAUAAGAAUCCUAUCGUUAUUGGCAGAGGUGCAGAUUACACUGAUAUUUUUGUGUGGUUUCAUGUAUUUUUGAUCUCCAGGAAGCUGUAGAGAUGUAGUUUUAGCACGUCAAGUAUUAGUAAUAGCAUAAGCAGAUACGCACAUGAAAAACAUUUGCUAUUGGGGAAAAAAAAAAUCACACAGAUCAGUGCAUCCUUGGUCAUUGAACUACACUAGUGGACUAGACAAGGCUAACAGGCAUGGCUUUCCUGAUGUAACUCACAUUCUUCACAUUCCUGCUCUGAGACAAAGCGGAGGUAGGCUCUGCUGUGUCUUUGAACAUGAGAGUUUGGCCUCCAUUGGCUGUUCAUUCUGUAAAGCUUUGACAUGUACUUGGUUAUAGUUGGAGAAGUGGCUUUUCUGCCUUUAGAACAAGGUUGCAGUUACUUUUAGUAGUGAUAUUUGCAUAUGUGAGCCAGUGAUGAUACUAAUUCAGUACUACAGAAAGUUACAGUGUUGUAGAACUAAAAUGGAUUUAAGGCUCUGGAUGACUUAAGCGAUGUGCUUGCUCUGUGCUGACACCAUUUUUCCCUGCAGUGUAUUAACACAGCUGGUUAAUUUGUACCAAGUUUCUCCCUCAUGAAUAAAUCAAGAAGGUGUGCAGGGGGAGGCCUGAAACCUAGCUGUCAGGAGCUCUGAUGGACUUUAUUCUCAAACAUGCAGUCAUGCUAGACUGAGCUAGUGAUCCACAGCUUAGAAUCAUCAGCUCUUCUUCCUGUAUUGCCUAGGAACGAACUAGAAAUAAACAGUAACCUUACCGAGGUCUCCCUGCUAGAACUUCAACACUAAUAAUGUAGAACCUUGAAUAUUGCCUAACCACAGAGGAAGAAGGGGGUUCUGAUGAUAUAUUUUCUGCUGAAGACCAUGUAUGAACACUUAACACGACCAUGGACUGUUGUGUCAAUUUUUGAUGCAUCUGCCCUUACUCUCAAGUCUCUCACGAAGAAAAAAAAGAGAAAAGAAUUAUAGCAAAUUGCUCACUUAAAACUGUAUCUUUAAGCACUUUCAGUCCUUCUAAAAAAGCUUUUACCAAUUACCCUUAAUAACUCUCACCGGACUGUUUUGGUAUUAAUUGACUAACCAGUGUCGUUGGUUUGGGGAUUUGUUUCACCAGACUCAUUUGUUGGUUGAUUAUUUCUUUUCUUUUUUUUUUUUUUGUUGCAUUAUUGUAUUUUUUUCCCCGUACGAUUUCAGGCACUCUCAGAGGAGAAAAGGAUAAAAUAAUAUGUAUAAUGACAAAUCUUUACUUGAAUCUGUGAAGCUGUGUGAUUUUCCAGUUCGAGAGCAGAACUGAGAGGCAGACGAGGCGCUCGUUUCGUUUUGCCUGCCGGAAGCCCAGGUUGGAAUAAUCAUGUCCGUUGUUGUAGACUGAAUCCCCUUCCAUCCAACUACCCAUCCUCCCUUGUAUCAGCAUCUGUUUCUGUGUACCAAAAGAUAAUAAUUAUUAUGCAGUUUGGUGGAUGACACCAGUUAAUGCACAAUUUCUUUUUUUUUUUUUUUUUUCCUUUUCCUUUGUUUUGUUUUGUUUUGUUUUGUUUUGUUAGAUUUUCUUGUAACCGUCAUUCAAAAGUGCAUUUGUCUAAGGAGACGUUCGCUCUGUGACGCCAUACCCUCACAGCUGCCCUCUCCUCUAAAGUCUGUGUACCUCACUCUGAAGCAGGCCUCGCUGAAGCACCUCUGUAAUGCUUUCGGGACUAAACCCCACCACCCCUUCUGGCACUGGGUUUCGUCCCGAACGCAGCAGCUUCGAAAGACAGCGACAGUCUACUCCUCUAGGUGACUCACUAGCUAAAUAAACAUUAUCCAUGUUUAGCGAUA